rnacentral:rRNA from 1 species
AUACGGGAGGCAGCAGUGGGGAAUUUUGGACAAUGGGCGCAAGCCUGAUCCAGCCAUACCGCGUGAGUGAAGAAGGCCUUCGGGUUGUAAAGCUCUUUCGGCAGGAAAGAAAUCGUGCAAUCUAAUAAAUUGUAUGGAUGACGGUACCUGAAGAAGAAGCACCGGCUAACUACGUGCCAGCAGCCGCGGUAAUACGUAGGGUGCGAGCGUUAAUCGGAAUUACUGGGCGUAAAGCGUGCGCAGGCGGUUUUGUAAGACAGACGUGAAAUCCCCGGGCUUAACCUGGGAACUGCGUUUGUGACUGCAAGGCUAGAGUGUAGCAGAGGGGGGUAGAAUUCCACGUGUAGCAGUGAAAUGCGUAGAUAUGUGGAGGAAUACCGAUGGCGAAGGCAGCCCCCUGGGCUAACACUGACGCUCAUGCACGAAAGCGUGGGGAGCAAACAGGAUUAGAUACCCCGGUAGC